rnacentral:lncRNA from 1 species
UCAAAAAAAAAAAAUUUAAUUAAAAAUUUAUUGUUAACAAUAAAGUAAAAUUUUGCGAAAACCUUCUUACAUGUACUCCACUUCGACAUGAUUCUAACUUGGAAAAGCGUGAAAUUUAAUUUUUAGAUAAUUUAAAUGGUUUAGAUUAUAUUUAAUAAUACCGAUUGUCAAUUUGAAAGAUCUACCAUUGAAAACAAAUAGUAGUAAACCGAGCUGUACUACCGAUAGUAUUGUAGCAAAACUCUAUAUAUAUACACUCUCAACCUAAGUGUUUUUUAAAAUUUUAGCAAUUGAGUGUUUUUUUCCAACAAAAUUAAAAAUUUUAUCAAAUUCAUGUGAGGGAUCUCAAUUGAAAAUUUUUUAACUAAGUAAAGUCCAAAUAAAAAAAAAAUUGAUAGUUCAAGGGCUCCUAAUGUUAAAAAAUAAACCUUAAAAGGGGUUUAGUUCAAAAUGAUUGAUAAGCGAGGGGUUUCUAUAUUUUUUACCCACUAAUAAUUAGUAUUAGAGAUGUUAUUUUUCAAAUUAAGAAGGGUAUUUAUGAAAUUGCUCCUUAAUUAUUUACUGUCAAAAUAAUAUCCUAACCUUUUUAGGGCUAAAUUAGUCAUUUUGUAACUCAACUCUUAUUUAACUAAAUUUUAACCAUGGUUAUAGAAACGGCCGUUGGAAGGAAGGAUGAUCGUGAAAAUUUUUUGCAUUUGAAGGGGGUGUAUAUGAUAUUUUCAACUUUGCAGGGCUGUUUACGAUAUUUACAUAUUUGAGAGGGGGUUGUGGUGAAAUUGCCCCAUUAUUAAAACAGUGCUGCGACGCGUAUUCCUAGAGAAGGUACGCCUUUAAUACUGUUGAUGAGCUGUAAGCAUUAUUAUUAAAUUUUAAAUGCUACCUUUUAAAUCCUAAAUACCACCGUAAAAUUCUAAAUAUCAUAAUUUAUAUCGUAAAUUCUAAACCCUUGGAAGCCUCAAUCUAGAAAAAUUCUAGAAUGCAACGGAUAUAUUAGUGACGUGGCGUAAUAAACCAAUCAAAUUAAUCCUUUUAAGAAUAUAUGUCCCAUCAUGAUUGUAAAAAAGUAUUUUUAUUGUACUUUUGUUUAAAAAAAAGGAAUGUGAUUGGCUUGUUAUUGAUGACGUGGUGCAAGUAUGACAGUGUAGAAUUCCUCCUCAAUCUAGGCUGUAC